ensembl:lncRNA
UGUGCGUGUGUGCGUACAUGCGUGUGUGUGUGUGUGUGUGUGCGUGUGUGUGUGUGUGUGCGUGUGUGUGUGUGUGUGCGUGUGCACAUCUGUUAAUGUUGGCAGCAGAUGACAGAGGAGGCUCCUCCGUGUCCCACAGGGAGAACUCACCUCUAACCGAUUCAUCCAGGAUGUUUCUCAUUCAGGAGGCGCACACACGCCUUCACCCGUCCCACACAACCAAGACGGGGACGCGAAGACAAAAGGCCAACGACUGACAUCCAAGAUGGAGACGGCCAAUCGAGGCCAUCGCGCCUUUAUUCACAAUGCGAGUAGUAGAACUGGCGCCUUCACACAUUUUAAGAUAUUAUGUUUACAUGACAUUACAUGUCAUUUAGUGUCUGAUGUUUUAUUUACAUAUUUAAUACCUUCGUCUUUUUUAAGGGAAAAGAGUAAAAACUUCCACAUGAAUAAAAUGUGAAAUAUUGUUAGUGUUUGUGCAGCUUCUUUAUGCUUAUGAUACAUACAUAUUUAUUCAGUUUUAGGGAUCACGGUCUGGGAUUUAUGUCCCUUCCGGUUCACCAAUUUAACACCAGAAGGACCAGGAGCUCCGGUUGGGACGGAUUAGACUCGGAUAAAUCCGUCCUCGCUGAGACGCUCCCAAGCGAAGCUAACAAACACGAUCAGAGACGGACACGUCCCCCAGACACUGAACCCAGAUCCCUUCUCCAUGAUCUCAUCCAUAUUCCUCCAGUUGUGUCCAGCGUGAGACGUGCAGGGGACGAUAUCUGAUAACGCUUAACAAGUCACAGACAGUUAGACAUCUUUCUCACAAAGAUGGACAGUUGUUGCGUUAAAGGUUGGUUUCGUUCCAUUCAAUUGUGCAAAUUGAACCUCAUUGCAACGUAUUUAUUGGCCUAAAAAAUGCAUUCAGCAAGGAGACGACUAAGAACCAAGAAGGAGACGACUAAGAACCAAGAAGGAGACGACUAAGGACUAAGAAGGAGACAACUAAGGACUAAGAAGGAGACAACUAAGAACCAAGAAGGAGACGACUAAGAACCAAGAAGGAGACGACUAAGGACCAAGAAGGAGACGACUAAGAACCAAGAAGGAGACGACUAAGAACCAAGAAGGAGACGACUAAGGACCAAGAAGGAGACGACUAAGAACCAAGAAGGAGACGACUAAGAACCAAGAAGGAGACGACUAAGGACCAAGAAGGAGACGACUAAGGACCAAGAAGGAGACGACUAAGGAUCAAGAAGGAGACGACUAAGGACCAAGAAGGAGAUGACUGAGAACCAAAUAGUACAUUAACAUAUACACAUGUCAUUUUGUAUUCCACCUUAUUUUAAUGUUUUUAAACAUGUUUAUUUAUCUGUAAGAUUUUAAUCUGUUCCAAGAGUACAGAUCAAAUACAAUAAAAUUCCUAUCGGGCCUAAAAAGCUUGAAUUUCAAAAUAAAAGCUUUGACUGCACCACAGAUGUGCUCCAGCUGUGAGGUGAAGGUGCAUCGGGUGGUUGUGAGAUCGUCGCGGGCCGCCGCUUCCCAUCAGCACCGCAGAACCAGACACAUGACAGGAGUGUGUGUGUGUGUGUGUGUGUGUGUGUGUGUGUGUGUGUGCGUGUGUGUGCGUGUGUGUGCGUGUGUGUGCGUGUGUGCAUGUGUGAAUCAAACUGAAAGGCCAUUUUUCACUUUGUGUGUCGUCUCCUUGUUUGUCAAAGUGAUCGAUCGCGUCCGGCUCCUAAUCUGUCCCGGCAAGCGGACCCCCCAGGUGGGGAGGGGGUCCGCCUCUCUUUAUCUCCUGUUGCAGACGGGGCUGUGACCCGAGGUCACCGGGGUCACAGCCCCGGGUCUCCCGGGUGUCCUCUCGUCUCUGGGGUGUAUUCUUGUCUCUCAGGUGUCCUCUCGUCUCUGGGGUGUAUUCUUGUCUCCCGGGUGUCCUCUCGUCUCUGGGGUGUAUUCUUGUCUCUCAGGUGUCCUCUCGUCUCUGGGGUGUAUUCUUGUCUCCCGGGUGUCCUCUCGUCUCUGGGGUGUAUUCUUGUCUCCCGGGUGUCCUCUCGUCUCUGGGGGUGUAUUCUUGUCUCUCGGGUGUCCUCUCG